GAUGAACGCUGGCGGCGUGCCUAAUACAUGCAAGUAGAACGCUGAAGCUUGGUGCUUGCACCGAGCGGAUGAGUUGCGAACGGGUGAGUAACGCGUAGGUAACCUGCCUCUUAGCGGGGGAUAACUAUUGGAAACGAUAGCUAAUACCGCAUAAAAGUCGACAUCGCAUGAUGUUGACUUGAAAGGUGCAAUUGCAUCACUAAGAGAUGGACCUGCGUUGUAUUAGCUAGUUGGUGAGGUAACGGCUCACCAAGGCGACGAUACAUAGCCGACCUGAGAGGGUGAUCGGCCACACUGGGACUGAGACACGGCCCAGACUCCUACGGGAGGCAGCAGUAGGGAAUCUUCGGCAAUGGGGGCAACCCUGACCGAGCAACGCCGCGUGAGUGAAGAAGGUUUUCGGAUCGUAAAGCUCUGUUGUAAGAGAAGAACGAGUGUGAGAGUGGAAAGUUCACACUGUGACGGUAACUUACCAGAAAGGGACGGCUAA
rnacentral:rRNA from 1 species